rnacentral:rRNA from 1 species
CCUACGGGUGGCAGCAGUGGGGGAUAUUGGACAAUGGGGGCAACUCUGACCCAGCGACGCCGCGUGAAUGAUGAAGUACUUCGGUUUGUAAAGCUCUGUCAUCAGGGAUGAAAACAAUGACGGUACCCCACUAGCAAGCCACGGCUAACUACGUGCCAGCAGCCGCGGUAAUACGUAGGUGGCAAGCGUUAUCCGGAAUGACUGGGUGUAAAGGGUGCGUAGGUGGUUGUGUAAGUUGGCGGUGUAAUGCCGGGGCGCAACCUCGGGGCUACUGCGAAAACUGUUAGACUAGAGUGCAGGAGGGGUAAGUGGAAUUCCUAGUGUAGCGGUGGAAUGCGUAGAUAUUAGGAGGAACACCAGGGGCGAAGGCGACUUACUGGACUGUAACUGACACUGAGGCACGAAAGCGUGGGGAGCAAACAGGAUUAGAUACCCUUGUAGUC